rnacentral:rRNA from 1 species
UACAGAGGGUGCGAGCGUUAAUCGGAAUAACUGGGCGUAAAGGGCGCGUAGGCGGUGAUAUAAGAGUGAUGUGAAAGCCCUGGGCUUAACCUGGGAAGUGCAUCGCUGACUGUAUGACUAGAGUCUAGGAGAGGGUGGUGGAAUUUCCGGUGUAGCGGUGAAAUGCGUAGAGAUCGGAAGGGACAUCGAUGGCGAAGGCAGCCACCUGGCCAAAGACUGACGCUGAGGCGCGAAAGCGUGGGGAGCGAACAGG